CCGCCUCCUCGGCCCUCGCACGUUCCUUCCCAGCACUCGAGGCCGCCGGGUCUGUUAUGAAACCCCGAGCGCUGAGUGGCUAAGAGCGGGUUCCAUUGCGAUGUAAUUAGGUCACCCCAUUAUGAGCACGUUUCUUUGGAAAGGACAGGGCGGGCGGAGCAGAGCGCUCCAGUCGCGCUCUCACCACCACCACCCACCCACCCACACACACACGCAUUUUUAUUACAUUUCUGAUGUAUUCGUCAACCUCCGAGCAGACCCAGGGAAAACUUACAAAUCACAACGAAAGGAACCGGUUGUUUUUCAUCUUUGCGAAACACACAACUUUUGCUGCAGCCACGAAUCUACGUGAUCUCAGCCCGGUCUGCUUUUAUUUGGCCCCUCAGACUUAAAAUGAUGGCCCCCGUUUUUAACCCAGCUGCUGCCCCUUGCCUUUCCUUCUGCUGCCGUCUAGCCUCCUGUUGCUUCCCUCCCCCUGCUCCCAUUUUUCAGCUUUUCUUGAAAUCUGGCAAGCGCCAGAAAGGGAAAUAACUUCCAUCCACCUUAAUUUAAAUCAUACAAGUGUAGGUUUCUUUCUUAAAGGGGUGUCUGCUCGCUCCUUUCCCCAGCUCCAAGAAGCGGGGGGGCGGCUCGUGCAGUUUCUUGGUGAUGAGGUAAUGAGUUCCAGAUUUCAGGACAGAGCAGGCUGCGCGUUAAAACCACAAGAGAAUGCCGAUUCCUCGAAUUUCCUCCGCUUUUCCAACUCCCGGCCGCCGCUCCCCUCCCCCGCUCCCGGGGCGCGGGCUCCGCGGGGCGGCGGCCUGGCCCGCUCGCUCCGGAGUUGUUUACCGGCCCCGCCGACCCACCGAGUUUGUUCCAGCUCUGAGAGCCUGUCUCUAUAAUUAAACUCUUUUUUAAUUGUC